ensembl:lncRNA TTC28-AS1 TTC28 antisense RNA 1
GCGCGCACUCUUGUCUGCUUACGAGGGCUCCUCCCUUCAGCUUUGGUCCCUCGGGGCGUCUGGGCAGCCUACGCUUUCCGCAUGACCCAUCUGCCUGGCACCAGCACCUGGGGCUGCCAGGCAGCCACCCCUGCAGCUGUGUUGACAGGACCUGGCAGAGGGACUGACCCACCUUUGGAAAAUGACACCAGCAAUAUCAGGAUGUGUCAACUGGAUUUAUGCUAAGAAAAUAGGAUUUUUGGUGUUCCUCUGUUUCCCAAAGUUUGAGACACUUUCAGACACUCUGCUUUGCGGUUGUGGCCGAUGUUACCCAUGGGUGGGACUUUUGCUUUGCUCUAGAUUUUUGUAACACCCUGGGGAGUUUCAGGGGCCAAUGCUGAGAGAAGACCACAGGCUGACACAUCAUGAGGUGCCUAACUUACUGAGAAUCAUGCCUGCUGUGAUGAGCCCUUGGAAACCAUCAGGACUGGAUGGUAGGGGUCCUGAGAGGAUUGGGGGAGGAGGCCUUGAUAUGACAGAGUGGACAGAGGCCGUGGAACCCAGGACAGCCAGCCUGCUCCACAAUCCUCAUCCCCACAGACCUUCAUGUGUGGCUCCUAAAUAAGAGGAAACCCACUCCUGAUAAGUCAGGGGCUUUGAAAAGUGAUUUUGUUUAAAUGGUGCAAACAAGCAAGCCAAUCUUGGGGAGACAGGGCUAAACUUAAGUCCUUUAAGAAGCUCUACAUACUGACAAGAUUCUAGUUCCCUUCCACCUUAUAUGCUGCAAAGUAAAAAGUAUCACUGAAUGAGAAAAUCAGCAUAAAGAAGCCCAAUAAUGUCUGCCUGAGUUUCCCCUAUGAUGACUUUUGGUACUUUUUGGGAAACAUUAAGUAUGAAGUUAUUUCAAAAUAAUUUUUUGGUGCCUCUGCUUGGUGAUGCCUUAAACUCUGGGUAAGAGAAACACCAGGUGCCUGUCAGGAGAUGGCCUUUUCCAGGUUUCUGGUUAAGCUACAAACAGCUAACUGGCUGCUGUCAUCAAAAUAAAAGCUUUCUGAAGGUGGAGGCAUCUGAUACCCAGAGUGCUGCUAUCAGCCGGCACGGUGGGCCGCUGGGUGGCAGGAGCGUCGAGAAGGCCAGCUCGCUUCCUAUCUGGGAUUCAGAAUCAGCUAUGGAAACUUGAGAGACCUAGAGAAAAUAACUUCUUUCACUUUGAACUGAUUCUUUGCUUCAUAAGAAAAGUAUUAUCCAGCCACAAAAAUGGUCAAAAUUCAGAUCUACAAAAGCCUGUCAGGCAGAAACUGACCCCACUUAGGCCACGCCAAUGAGCAAGUCAUCAAAGCAGCCAAGACAGGUCCUGUGGGGGCCACCCAUGCACAGGGCCCAGCCUCGGGUCCUAACCCCGCCUAUGCUUUCCGCCACCAUAAAGAGGCCCAUCUGGGUAAGACCUGUCCCGCCUGCUGUGGGGUAUUAGGGCAGAUGGGGUCUGAGGGGUCUGAGGGCUCUGAGAGCAGCUGGCAGCUCAAGGACAUCCGGAGUUGGAGGAUGGAGCAAUGCAGGCCCUUGUGGUAAAGACAGUCCUGCAGCCGCGCAGGCAGGGAUGCUGCAAGUGGAGUGCCAGGCGGGUGCGGAGCCCUGUGGGACUGUGGAGGGGUCAGAGGGAAGCCAGGAUUUUGGGGUCUCUGAGAGUUUGGAGAAGGGGAAGAAGAUUAAAGCUUGUUUCAAAAGUUUCUAAUCAGGUGGGCAGGGCCAAGGGUGGCUGUGGGGUGAGACCCAUGACUCAGGGUGGCCCACUGUUACUCUAUUGAUUUUUGGGCGUUUUUUUCCAAAUUGAUUAUUCUUGCUGAAUGAGACCUGAGUCCUUGACUGUCCCCUUAAAGCCACCUGACUUGUUUUCAGUUCCACUGGCCUGUCGGGCUGUUUUCUACUCAACUCCACUCUUGCUUGUCUGCCCUCCCUGCCUGGGGCCCAGCCAGCAGUCAGCUCAAGGGCCAGAUGAAUUGGGUGGCUGUGCUCUGCCCACUGGGCAUCGUGUGGAUGGUGGGUGACCAGCCCCCUCAGGUGCUCAGCCAGGCCUCAAGCCUUGCUGUGUACCUCAGAGCAGCUCCGUACCCUGAUGUCACAGCAAAGAAACUUAGACAUGACACAAACUGUGGCUUCCCAAGGCAGCAAAGAAUGGCCAGGGGUCAUGAGGGCCGUGCCCCACUUUUGGACAGACCUACUCUAAAGUCACGCUACCUGCGUGCAAAUCAUAAAAUCAACACUUUUGAGGAGAUCACAGCUAUGCCUUCGUAACACAGCCCAGUCCGACCAGAUAGACGGUGCCUCGUGACCCGAAAACAAGCCCCCGGCCCCCCACCAUGUGUGUGAGCCUUACCUUGGACUGCACGCUGAGGGAGCGGAUGGAAGGGACAGCAAGGAGGCCGAAGCGCUCGUAGAGGUACUCAUUGGAGGAGCUUCCCUUCAGGAGGGCGAAAGGAAUGAGGUAGAGCUCCCCCUCCAGAACCAGGAUGAGCUGCCGGUGCCGGCCCACGGGGCCGCUGGAGUGCAUCAGGCCCUAUGGAGCAAGCACGGAGAGGCUGACAUGGGUGGCCCAGCAGGCAGGGGUUUCAGGCACCAGGACAACCCUGAGCCCUAGCCUGGAUGACACAAGCACGAGCAGGUGAGGCCUGUGGGGGUGUGGGGCGCCAUGGGGCAUGGGCCGAGUUGCAGCCCUGCAGGAGCGGCACCAACUGGCAUGCUCGCUUGUGGACUGGCAAGGGCUGGCCUGGCAGCAUCCAUCUGCCUCACAGUCCUGAGAAGGUUAGAGGACAGUUUCUUGAAGUUCACAAGAACCUGAAGUGGGUUGGAGACCGGUCUGUACCGCACAGGCACCCUGAGAAGGGGUGGGAAUGGCCCCUCUCAAAACAAGAUCUGUUUUCCAUUUCAAUGGACAAGAGGCUAGAAAAUCACAGUGAGGACGGGAGGUCUGGGGGCUGGCAUGACAGCCCCUGUAGAAGGGGAUGGGCUGGGUUCUAGGAUCUUCCGUGACCUCCUCUGAGAAAGAGUGGCCCCUUGGCUCUGGGCUUGGGAGGUGCCGUCCCCACUUGUUCCCUCUGGGGAUGUCAGGGGACCCAAUGCAUGGAUGACUCCCAUCCCUCUUGAAAGGCCGAGCAUGAGGACUCGAGGCAGGGUGUGCACAGGGCCACAGCGGACACAGCCUCAUUCCUGUUCAUUGCAGAACAAGGCUAAGGGCGCGGGCAUCUUAAUGAGAGCAGCAGGCAACAAUCCUGGAAGCUGGGUCCACACAGACUGCGGUGAACAAAGAGGUGGCGUGGAAGCUGCUGCUGCAGCCCAGAGCCUGCCAAGAAGGUCCCAGGUCCACAGGGCCUGCGCAACACUGGGUGCCAGGGGUGGGGCUGGCCUGCCCCCCAACCCCAUCUGCUGAGGAGUGGCUGACAAGCGGACACCCACCAGGGUGCCACUCGCUUGUGCCUGGGGAAGCAAAUGUGCUCGCUUGACCCGUCUGAUGUGCUGCCGUGGGCACUUGACUGAGAGUGGCAGAGCACUAGGCUAACCCAAAGUGACACAUGCCUGGCGGGAUGUUCAGUCUCUGUAAACCCAUAUGGUUUUUUUUUUUCUUUCCUUUAAAAAAAAUUUCUAGCUCCAUCUAGCGAAAGCAGAAAUAAAA